rnacentral:rRNA from 1 species
GCUUGUCUCAAAGAUUAAGCCAUGCAUGUCUAAGUAUAAACAACUUUAUACUGUGAAACUGCGAACGGCUCAUUAUAUCAGCAAUAAUUUAUUUGAUGGUUCCUUACUACAUGGAUAACUGUAGUAAUUCUAGAGCUAAUACAUGCGUAAAGUCCCGACUCUCGCGGGGAGGGAUGUAUUUAUUAGAUCAAAACCAAACGGCUUCGGCCGUCUCAUUGGUGACUCUGAAUAACUUUGGGCUGAUCGUAUGGCCUUGUGCCGACGACGUUUCCUUCGAAGGUGUGCCCUAUCAACUGUCGACUGUGAUAUAGACGCUCACAGUGGUUUUGACGGGUAACGGGGAAUCAGGGUUCGAUUCCGGAGAGGGAGCCUUAAAAACGGCUACCACAUCCAAGGAAGGCAGC